ACCUGUAAAUAAUAGUCCAGAUUGAGUGUAAGAAACCUUGAAUUAUAUUCAACAAUGAAAUGAUUUGCGAACAUUUAGAGAAUCAUUUUUUUUUCCUAAUUUGCAAUAGUACCAAAAUGUGUUAUGAUCAUGAAAGAGCAGUUUGUUGGAAUAAAAACUAAAUUUAAAGAUCAAACAUUUAAAGUCUGGAAAGACCAACUAGUUAAAUUUUUUAAAACCUUAUUUCUAUGUGUCAGAUGAUAAUACCCACUGAACAGAUGGAGGCAGGAAACAUUUAGGUCUGUGCUCCAUCUAUGGAAAUGCAAAAUAAAGCAGGAGGCCUGAGUCAAGCUACCUCUUAAAGGAAAUUGGCAUAUCAGUUGCAUUGAAGCAUAUAUUAUGCUUCCCAUUUAGUGACAGUUUUGCACUUAUGGAAUAAAUUACUGAAAAGUACCUUGUAUCACUUUAAUAAUCAAAUUAUUAUGGAAUACCUAUUUAGACAACAUUUUAAAGUUUUCCUUUUUUAAUAUUACCAAAAUGCUGAAAAGCCUGCAAAAAAUCCCACAAUUAACUAAAUAUAGUAUGGAGAGAGAAAUGAGCUUCAUGAAUUUUAACUUAAAAAUGUCAAAAUAUAAAUCCCAAAGUAAAUGCUCGCAUAAGGACAGUUUUAUCUGCAUCAGAAUCAUUUGUUUUACUGAUCCAAAUGAAUAAAGAGUUGAAAGAAAGAACUCAGACCAAUUAGUGUUGCACAGCCCUGGUGAGUGUUUUGACAGCAUGAAAUCUACAGCAUUUCCAAGUAGAGCUGGCCUUUGGACUGUUUGUGCUCCAUUUUCGUACUUGCCUCUGUGGUUCAUAGAGAUGCUCUGUGUCCUUGACCCUAAUUCUGGACUUCUCCUGGAUUCAGCCAAUCACCUGGGCAAGGCUGAAAGCAAGAACUGAGAAGGAGCUGCACCGUCUCUACCAUGUCCCUGUUGCCUCCAGCAGCUUCUGGAUACCACUCUAAGACAUUCUGCCUAGAUUCCAGAUGCCCUUCUGAAAUCAGAGUUUAUAGAAGCAUCUUACAAAAUAAAAACGCACACCCUGAUGCUGCUGAAUGGUCAAGGACAGAGAUAGGGAAAGCACAACAUCACAUGAAUGCUUCUGAAGCGGUGUGGAAUUCUAGAGAAGAAGUAUUCAAGGAACAAGGGGGACCUGCUGGAGCUGAAAAGUGGAAAGGUCACUCGAGUUUGUAUCUCACAUCCCCAGCCUUUCAAGUAGAUCAAAGGUGCUUGUCUUUGUGGGACUGA
rnacentral:lncRNA from 1 species